AACAACUAACGGAGCCCUCUUCCCAUUGAAACAGAUCGAAAGAGCCUGCUAAAGCAAU
rnacentral:misc_RNA from 1 species